UGGGGAAUUUUGCGCAAUGGGCUAACGCCUGACGCAGCAACGCCGCGUGGAGGAUGAAGGUCUUUGGAUUGUAAACUCCUGUCAGCAGGGAAAAAGCGACUGCGGAUAAUACCCGCGGGAGUUGAUUGUACCUGCAGAGGAAGCCCCGGCUAACUCUGUGCCAGCAGCCGCGGUAAUACAGAGGGGGCAAGCGUUAUUCGGAAUUAUUGGGCGUAAAGGGCGCGUAGGCGGCUAUACAAGUGACGGGUGAAAUCCCUCGGCUUAACCGAGGAACUGCCUGUCAGACUGUGUGGCUUGAGACCGGGAGAGGUGAGUGGAAUUCCCAGUGUAGCGGUGAAAUGCGUAGAUAUUGGGAGGAACACCAGUGGCGAAGGCGGCUCACUGGACCGGAACUGACGCUGAGGCGCGAAAGCGUGGGGAGCAAACAG
rnacentral:rRNA from 1 species